UAUUCUGACAAGCUAUGCCCG
ensembl:piRNA 21ur-4231 ncRNA